CCAAUGUGAAUCUAGAAACCUGUUGUGCUCUUCAGAGGCGUUUCUGACCCCUAGAAACUUACAAAGAACUUUCCACGGAACUAAUGAAAGGUAUCCAUCACAAAGGAACAGAAGUUUCUGAUGUAUGCAAAUCUUUUUGGGCACUGGCUUGACUUACAAUGGAGUACCAUGUUAUGAUAAGGUGUUUGUUCUGUAUUCUGUUAAGACCACCGCAACUCUCAUGCAUACCUUGGAUCAGCAAACAUCCCACCUUGAGGAUGUAAGAAGAUAUUUUUGAAGUGUCUUCUCUUUAUCACCACCCAAUGGUGCAUCUCGAAAGAUACUGCUUACCUGUUCUCUUUAUCACCACCCAAUGUUACGCUGGACUGAGUUGUGGAACCGAGUGAGAAGCGUGUGGAGCGUGGAGACGCCGGUUCAUCAGAGAUGACAGUUGGGUUCUCGGGGCGGUGCUGAAGUGCUGAAGCACUGCUGGCUACGGACACUGAGAGGGCAACACCUGCUCCUCUGCAGCUAACCUCCUUCCAGGUGUUCCCAGGCAGGCUGUACUGGUGCGCAAGCAGAACAGACUCCCAGUAGCAAGGUGAUAAAUCCAGUGGACUGUUCAGCAGCCAGGGAACAUUACAGCAUUGAAGAGAUGGCUUGCCCUGCUCUUUAGGCGGCCGUUUAUGACGGAGUCCCCAACCACAAUUAUGGGAGCCUUGGGCUGCUACCGGAAACAAACCCACUGACACGUUGACAAAAAUCCCUGCCCCGUGUUUAUAUGGCGUUUUGCAAAGAAAUCGGAAAAGGACAGAUUUGAAUCGAUGGCAGACGGGUCCUCUAAACCCACUCCAACUUCUGUCUUUCUCUCAGCCCACUUGGGAUCUGCAGCAUAAUACACCGCCGACUAAAUCCGGUGAUACUCCUGGAGUAUUUGAAGCAUGGGUGGCUGCAUAAUGAGCAGUCUGUGUGUUCUUUCCCUUUCCUGUCCCCUACCCUCUUCUUCCAAUAUGCAGGAAAUGGCGUCUGGCCUCUUGACAGAUAAUGUGACACACACGUGUGCAGACGGAAACUGGGGCUGUGAGCCACAAAGGGCCACAGUGGGUCCUGGCCCCUGAUAACAUCAGGGAAGGAGAAGAGAAGAGAGGUGUCUACGGGAAGUUGCCAGGUUUGGGAAGGCAUGGAGAAUCCCGGUUAUCUCCCAGAGGAUUCAGGAAUUGGAGUGUGGCCCUCCCCGGCAGCAGGCCAGGCGAUGGAGUGCUGGGACCUUUGUUUGUCAUCACCAUUUCCCCUUCAUCCUGUGUCAUGACCUUACAGAGUUCAUUUCAAACUGAGAAUUCAUUGACUACUUCGCAAGCCUUCAGAAUAUGGAAGGAGUUGAUCAUUAGACAAGUAGACGUGACAGCUUCUUAUCAGGGAAUUUGAUUUGUGAAGGGAAACUUGUGAUUUGUGCUUUGGCUGUGGAAUGCAAAGUGAUGGCCACAAAUUGUCAUUACGACUGAGACAUAACAAAUGUUUCCUCUACAACUUCACUUUCAAACAAUGCUUUCUUUGGUGGGGUUGGGGUUGUAGAGAGAUAUUCUGGCCCAAUCUGAAUAUAUUUGAAUUUAUUUGAUUGCAUAACAAAAUUGUUUCUUUUAAAUGUUUGAGUCAAAAUCUUUACAAAAUUGUUCAUAAUGUACACAGUUAAUGGAAUAUAAAAUUUUGCCACUAAUACAAAGGGUUACACUUUAUUUUAAGGUGUCAUUGUUACAGUGUAAUUAUACAUAGGAUGAUGGAUUGGUUUAAGAUUAGUUGCAUGUAAUUAUGCAUAAUUUACUGUUAUUAUAAUAGUAAGUAUAUGUAACGCGUAACAAGUGGACCUUAAAAUAAAGUGUUACCCUCUUUAGAAUAAGAUUU